AUGCAGAGCGCCAUCUGGUGGUCAGUAAUCAAGAGCCAUGAGCAUAUGUGUUACAAAGGUUCUCCAUCGGUCUCCACUGCAGUCCUCGCAGAGAGAUUAAGUCUCCUGCCUGAAAUCAUGCAGCCAAGUAUGAAAGGUAUGAUGAUUUUCAUAUAUAAACCCAGGUCCCGGGGAAAGAAAGGAAAAAAAUGGGAAAAAAGGGAAAGAAUGGGGGGGGACCCUGCAGAAUGAGUAAUUUGCAUAUAUAUAAUUUGCAUAUCUCUAAUUGCAGUGUUCCAGCAAGAACAUAUUGUGAAACACUUGGAAGGUAGAGGCAGGAGGAUCUCUGUGAGUUCCAGGCCAGCCAGAGAUACACAGUGAGACCCUAUGUCAAAAACAAGCAAAAAGAACCGUGUGGCAGUUAAAAGCAUCUGCUGUUUUUCCAGAGGACCCAAGUUCUAUUCCCAGAACCCACAUCAGGCAUCUUAUCUGCCUGUAACUCCAGCUCGAGGGCAUCCAAUGUCCUCUCUGGGCCUCCCUUGGCAUCAGAGCACACAUGGAACAUACAUACAGUAACGUACACACAGAUUUAAAACAAAAUUUUAAUACUGUAUUUAUUUGUUUUUUAAUUUAUUUCUGUGUGAAGCAGAAGUGGACAUGUGCUGCAUACCCAUACUACAGUGAGGCCCAGCUCACUGUAGCAGUGCCAUGCCAGGCUGGUGAUCCUGCAUUCUGUAAGAAAGCAGGCUAAUGGUCACAGUGUUUUAUUGCAGCAAUAGAAACUCUAACUAAUUAAAUCUGCCAGUGGUGGUGCAUGCCUUUAAUCCCAGCAUUCAGGAGGCAGAGGCAGGGGGAUCUCUGAAUUUGAGGCCAGCCUGGUCUACAGAGUGAGUUUCAGGAAGGCUAUUUUAAAGCUGGAGUUGCAAGUACUUGUGAACUCUCCAAUGUGGGUGCUGGGAACAGAACUUGGGUCCUACAAAAAAACCAAGCAGUAUCUAUGCGUAAGCACUGAGCCAUCUCUUCAGCCUCCUUAAAACUUGCUUUUGUUUUGUUUUCCGAGACAAGGUAUCACUGAGUAAUCUGGGCUGGCCUCUAACUCAAAGAUCCACCUGGCUUUGCAUCCUGAGUGCCAGGACUAAAGGUGGGCACCACCAUGCCCAGAAUAUUUGAAAACUACAACUCAACAAUAAGAAGACAGCCUGAUUUUAAAAUGGGUAAAAGGCCAAGAAGUGGUGGUGUAUAUCUUUAAUCCCAGCACUCUGAGUUUGAGGCCAGCCUGGUCUAUACAUUGGGGACAGCAGGGCUACACAGAGAAACCCUGUCUCAAAAAUCCAAAUAGUAACAAUAAAAUAAUCGAGGGCUGGCUCA
rnacentral:lncRNA from 1 species